UACGUAGGGUGCGAGCGUUGUCCGGAAUUAUUGGGCGUAAAGAGCUUGUAGGCGGUUUGUCGCGUCUGCUGUGAAAUUUCGGGGCUCAACCCCGAACUUGCAGUGGGUACGGGCAGACUAGAGUGUGGUAGGGGAGACUGGAAUUCCUGGUGUAGCGGUGAAAUGCGCAGAUAUCAGGAGGAACACCGAUGGCGAAGGCAGGUCUCUGGGCCGAUACUGACGUGAGGAGCGAAAGCGUGGGGAGCGAACAGG
rnacentral:rRNA from 1 species